GGCUUCUUUCCACCUAAACGCACAGAGGGAAGUUUACGCCUACGCAGAGAAAUUCUCCGGCGAGUAGGCCACCGCGGGACGGAGGUGGAAAGAUGGGUUUGGGAGGUGUUUUGGCUAGGGGUUUCAUCAUGGAGAGCCAUGUGAGUAUGGGAGAGAUGUGGGAGUGAUGAGAGGGAAAACCAAGGAGAGGUUAUAUAAUAUCAGGAGGGUGAAGUUGACUACAUAUGGAGACAAAGGCAAGUUUGAGCAUUU
rnacentral:misc_RNA from 1 species